rnacentral:misc_RNA from 1 species
AUCAUUUUCUAGCUUCCUUGCUCUACUGAUCAGGUCUUCCACAACUUUUGAGAAGUAUUGUUUGCUGAUUCUCUCAGAUGUUUUGAACUUCUCAGGCAGGAGAUUUCCGCUGCCAAAAGGCACAGAAGUAUCGCUUCCAACACAACAGACUGUGCUGCAAGCAUCUCCCAGGGUUGAUCGAGCAAGAAAGGGUACAACACUCUCAUAAUGUGACAUAGCA